GAGGAAUAUUGGUCAAUGGACGCAAGUCUGAACCAGCCAUGUCGCGUGCAGGAAGACGGCCCUAUGGGUUGUAAACUGCUUUUGUACGGGAAGAAAGUUAGCUACGUGUAGCUAUUUGCCGGUACCGUACGAAUAAGGAUCGGCUAACUCCGUGCCAGCAGCCGCGGUAAUACGGAGGAUCCGAGCGUUAUCCGGAUUUAUUGGGUUUAAAGGGUGCGUAGGCGGGUUAUUAAGUCAGUGGUGAAAGUUUGACGCUCAACGUUAAAAUUGCCAUUGAUACUGAUAGUCUUGAGUACAGUUGAGGUAGGCGGAAUGUGGUGUGUAGCGGUGAAAUGCAUAGAUAUACCACAGAACACCGAUUGCGAAGGCAGCUUACUAAACUGUAACUGACGCUGAGGCACGAAAGUGUGGGGAUCAAAC
rnacentral:rRNA from 1 species